rnacentral:rRNA from 1 species
UAAGCAUAUCAAUAAGCGGAGGAAAAGAAACCAACAGGGAUUGCCCUAGUAACGGCGAGUGAAGCGGCAACAGCUCAAAUUUGAAAUCUGGCUUCGGCCCGAGUUGUAAUUUGCAGAGGAAGCUUUAGGCGCGGCACUUUCUGAGUCCCCUGGAACGGGGCGCCAUAGAGGGUGAGAGCCCCGUAUAGUUAGAUGCCUAGCCUGUGUAAAGCUCCUUCGACGAGUCGAGUAGUUUGGGAAUGCUGCUCAAAAUGGGAGGUAAAUUUCUUCUAAAGCUAAAUACCGGCCAGAGACCGAUAGCGCACAAGUAGAGUGAUCGAAAGAUGAAAAGCACUUUGAAAAGAGGGUUAAAUAGCACGUGAAAUUGUUGAAAGGGAAGCGCUUGUGACCAGACUUGCGCCGGGCAGAUCAUCCGGUGUUCUCACCGGUGCACUCUGCCCGGCUCAGGCCAGCAUCGGUUCUCGCGGGGGGAUAAAGGCCCUGGGAACGUAGCUCCUCCGGGAGUGUUAUAGCCCGGGGCGUAAUGCCCUCGCGGGGACCGAGGUUCGCGCAUCUGCAAGGAUGCUGGCGUAAUGGUCAUCAGCGACCCGUCUUGAAACACGGACCAAGGAGUCAAGGUUUUGCGCGAGUGUUUGGGUGUAAAACCCGCACGCGUAAUGAAAGUGAACGUAGGUGAGAGCUUCGGCGCAUCAUCGACCGAUCCUGAUGUUUUCGGAUGGAUUUGAGUAGGAGCGUUAAGCCUUGGACCCGAAAGAUGGUGAACUAUGCUUGGAUAGGGUGAAGCCAGAGGAAACUCUGGUGGAGGCUCGCAGCGGUUCUGACGUGCAAAUCGAUCGUCAAAUCUGAGCAUGGGGGCGAAAGACUAAUCGAACCAUCUAGUAGCUGGUUACCGCCGAA